AGUGAACGCUGGCGGUAGGCCUAACACAUGCAAGUCGAACGGCAGCACAGGAGAGCUUGCUCUCUGGGUGGCGAGUGGCGGACGGGUGAGGAAUACAUCGGAAUCUACUUUUUCGUGGGGGAUAACGUAGGGAAACUUACGCUAAUACCGCAUACGACCUACGGGUGAAAGCAGGGGACCUUCGGGCCUUGCGCGAUUGAAUGAGCCGAUGUCGGAUUAGCUAGUUGGCGGGGUAAAGGCACACCAAGGCGACGAUCCGUAGCUGGUCUGGAAGGGAGAUCAGGCACACUGGGACUGGGACACGGUGCAGACUCCUACGGGAGGCAGCAGUGGGGAAUAUUGGACAAUGGGAGCAAGCUUGAUCCAGCCAUACCGCGUGGGUGAAGAAGGCCUUCGGGUUGUAAAGCCCUUUUGUUGGGAAAGAAAUCCAGCUGGCUAAUACCCGGUUGGGAUGACGGUACCCAAAGAAUAAGCACCGGCUAACUUCGUGCCAGCCGCCGCGGUAACAC
rnacentral:rRNA from 1 species